rnacentral:rRNA from 1 species
GUAACGGCAGGCCUAACACAUGCAAGUCGAACGGUAACAGGAAGCAGCUUGCUGCUUUGCUGACGAGUGGCGGACGGGUGAGUAAUGUCUGGGAAACUGCCUGAUGGAGGGGGAUAACUACUGGAAACGGUAGCUAAUACCGCAUAACGUACGCAAGACCAAAGAGGGGGACCUUCGGGCCUCUUGCCAUCGGAUGUGCCCAGAUGGGAUUAGCUAGUAGGUGGGGUAACGGCUCACCUAGGCGACGAUCCCUAGCUGGUCUGAGAGGAUGACCAGCCACACUGGAACUGAGACACGGUCCAGACUCCUACGGGAGGCAGCAGUGGGGAAUAUUGCACAAUGGGCGCAAGCCUGAUGCAGCCAUGCCGCGUGUAUGAAGAAGGCCUUACGGGUUGUAAAGUACUUUCAGCGGGGAGGAAGGUGUUGAGGUUAAUAACCUCAGCGAUUGACGUUACCCGCAGAAGAAGCACCGGCUAACUCCGUGCCAGCAGCCGCGGUUAAUACGGAGGGUGCAGCGUUAAUCGGAAUUACUGGGCGUAAAGCGCACGCAGGCGGGCUGUCNCAGUCGGAUGUGAAUUCCCGGGGCUUCAA